rnacentral:rRNA from 1 species
AUACGUAGGGUGCAAGCGUUAAUCGGAAUUACUGGGCGUAAAGCGUGCGCAGGCGGUUUUGUAAGACAGUGGUGAAAUCCCCGGGCUCAACCUGGGAACUGCCAUUGUGACUGCAAGGCUGGAGUGCGGCCGAGGGGGAUGGAAUUCCGCGUGUAGCAGUGAAAUGCGUAGAUAUGCGGAGGAACACCGAUGGCGAAGGCAAUCCCCUGGGCCUGCACUGACGCUCAUGCACGAAAGCGUGGGGAGCAAACAGGAUUAGAUACCCUGGUAGUCCACGCCCUAAACGAUGUCAACUGGUUGUUGGGGAUUUAUUUUCUCAGUAACGAAGCUAACGCGUGAAGUUGACCGCCUGGGGAGUACGGCCGCAAGGUUAAAACUCAAAGGAAUUGACGGGG